CCUACGGGAGGCAGCAGUGGGGAAUAUUGGGCAAUGGGCGCAAGCCUGACCCAUCAACGCCGCGGGAAGGAAGAAGGCUUUCGGGUUGUAAACUUCUUUUCUCAGGGACGAAGCAAGUGACGGUACCUGAGGAAUAAGCCACGGCUAACUACGUGCCAGCAGCCGCGGUAAUACGUAGGUGGCAAGCGUUAUACGGAUUUACUGGGUGUAAAGGGCGUGUAGGCGGGAAAGCAAGUCAGAUGUGAAAACCAUGGGCUCAACCUGUUGCCUGCAUUUGAAACUGUUUUUCUUGAGUACUGGAGAGGCAGACGGAAUUCCUAGUGUAGCGGUGAAAUGCGUAGAGAUUAGGAGGAACACCAGUGGCGAAGGCGGUCUGCUGGACAGCAACUGACGCUGAGGCGCGAAAGCGUGGGGAGCAAACAGGAUUAGAUACCCCAGUAGUC
rnacentral:rRNA from 1 species